CAGGAGCUCGUCCUCCUGUCGCCUGAGUUACACUCCGGAGGGCAGAGCUGGAAGUCGUAUCAGAAACGAAAUACAAAACGUGUUAUGGGACAUGGAGGGGAUCGUGGAGAGGGCACGGACGUGGCGCUGGGUCCUGGAUUCAGAGCUCAUCCUAUAAAUAAACUCUUGGCUACAAGAAAGCAGGCUUCAAAAUGCUUAAAUUCUCAGAAACCAUCAAUCACGCAUUUCAACAAACACAGGAAGACAGUGGCAUAUUUGCAAGAGGAAUUGCUGGAUGAAUUAUGAAGCUGAACUUACUUGGAGCACUUUGAUAUCUUCAGCAAAAAUGGCUGCGCAGCAUUAAGUCUCCAUGGACUGUCCUCCCAGCACCGGUGCAUCACUGCUGUCUCUCAGCAAUGCUCCCUAAUGCUUUGAAGGUUACUGCACAAGAAGCUGUCUUGUUUGAUGGGGAAUCGGAUGCCUCAGAAAAGUUUAUGUGGCUGCUGACAUCUCAGGUGGCAAAGGAACGGGUGAAAAGUUGAGCACACUUUGUGGGUCAGUCUCUUCACCCCAUGCUGGCAUGGAGCACAGUGCAGCCUUUUGCCUUGAUUCUAGGAAGAGCUGUUGAUUGGGAUUUUUUCUUUAUUUUGUUGUAUUGCUCCCCCCCGCCCUCCUUCUGUUACAGAACCCUGCACAAGAGAGGAUCCCCAAAUUAGUGACAUAUGCUGCACUGCAGUUCCCAGCAACAGCAGAAGCACAGCCCACUGCUGGAGCAGUGCUUGACUCUGUGCUGCCUCCAUGUGCACAGCCCUCUGUUCCUAUAAUGAUUGCAGUUUUUUCUUCAAGAAAACACUUUGCAUUCUUUUGCUCUAUAAUACGGGAGUCCUGGUAGUCUAACAGCAACAUUAAAGCUUUAAAUAAUCCUAGACUUUAUCUGGGGAAUGUGAAUAAGUGGCUUAAGCAGUGUAACUGGUGUCGGUUGAAUCAAUCUCUUGUAAAAUACAACUAGAAUCAAUUGUACAGAAACUUUGAUAUUUUUUGCAGUGCCACAGUGGGAUUCUUGUUAGCAUCUGGCAGUGAAUGGAGGUACCCUACGAGGUCAAUAAAGCAGGCUGUGAUGUCCUGUUAGCAAAUAAAUAGCUUGCC
rnacentral:lncRNA from 7 species